rnacentral:rRNA from 1 species
AGAGUUUGAUCAUGGCUCAGGACGAACGCUGGCGGCGUGCUUAACACAUGCAAGUCGAGCGAGGCUCUCUCCUUCGGGAGGGAUGCCCUAGCGGCGAACGGGUGAGUAACGCGUGGGCAACCUGCCCCUAGCACUGGGAUAACUUCGGGAAACCGAGGCUAAUACCGGAUAUGACCUCUGAGGGCAUCCUCGGAGGUGUAAAGGAUUCUGGCUAGGGAUGGGCCCGCGGCCUAUCAGCUUGUUGGUGAGGUAACGGCCCACCAAGGCGACGACGGGUAGCCGGCCUGAGAGGGCGACCGGCCACACUGGGACUGAGACACGGCCCAGACUCCUACGGGAGGCAGCAGUGGGGAAUAUUGCACAAUGGGCGAAAGCCUGAUGCAGCGACGCCGCGUGAGGGAUGACUGCCUUCGGGUUGUAAACCUCUUUCAGCAGGGACGAAGCGAAAGUGACGGUACCUGCAGAAGAAGCACCGGCCAACUACGUGCCAGCAGCCGCGGUAAUACGUAGGGUGCAAGCGUUGUCCGGAAUUAUUGGGCGUAAAGAGCUCGUAGGCGGUUCGUCACGUCGGCUGUGAAAACCUGGGGCUCAACUCCGGGCCUGCAGCCGAUACGGGCGGACUAGAAUUCGGUAGGGGAGACUGGAAUUCCUGGUGUAGCGGUGAAAUGCGCAGAUAUCAGGAGGAACACCGGUGGCGAAGGCGGGUCUCUGGGCCGAUAUUGACGCUGAGGAGCGAAAGCGUGGGGAGCGAACAGGAUUAGAUACCCCCGUAGUCC